rnacentral:rRNA from 1 species
ACUAGGGUGAUCCUAUGCUGCCAAGAAAAUCUUCUAGCGAGGUUUGAGCCGCCCGUACCCCAAACCGACUCAGGUGGUUAGGUAGAGAAUACCAAGGCGAUCGAGUGAAUCGUGGUUAAGGAAUUCGGCAAAUCCCCCCGUAACUUCGGGAGAAGGGGGGCCCAGACUCUGAAGUCACUUGCUGACUAGGGGAAAGGGCCGCAGAGACCAGGGAGAAGCGACUGUUUACUAAAAACACAGGUCCGUGCGAAGUCGCAAGACGAUGUAUACGGACUGACGCCUGCCCGGUGCUGGAAGGUUAAGAGGACGGGUUAGAUCUUCGGGUCGAAGCUCAGAAUUUAAGCCCCAGUAAACGGCGGUGGUAACUAUAACCAUCCUAAGGUAGCGAAAUUCCUUGUCGGGUAAGUUCCGACCUGCACGAAUGGCGUAACGACUUCUCCACUGUCUCAACCGCGAACUCGGCGAAAUUGCACUACGAGUAAAGAUGCUCGUUACGCGCAGCAGGACAGAAAGACCCCGGGACCUUCACUAUAGCUUGGUAUUGGUGUUCGGGACGGCUUGUGUAGGAUAGGUGGGAGACUUUGAAGCCGGCACGCCAGUGUCGGUGGAGUCAACGUUGAAAUACCACUCUGGUCGUUCUGGAUGUCUAACCUCGGUCCGUGAUCCGGAUCAGGGACAGUGCCUGGUGGGUAGUUUAACUGGGGCGGUUGCCUCCUAAAAGGUAACGGAGGCGCUCAAAGGUUCCCUCAGCCUGGUUGGCAAUCAGGUGUCGAGUGUAAGUGCACAAGGGAGCUUGACUGCGAGAGAGACAUCUCGAGCAGGGACGAAAGUCGGAACUAGUGACCCGGCGGUGGCUUGUGGAAGCGCCGUCGCUCAACGGAUAAAAGGUACCCCUGGGAUAACAGGCUGAUCUUGCCCAAGAGUCCAUAUCGACGGCAUGGUUUGGCACCUCGAUGUCGGCUCGUCGCAUCCUGGGGGUGGAGUCGCUCCCAAGGGUUGGGCUGUUCGCCCAUUAAAGCGGUACGCGAGCUGGGUUUAGAACGUCGUGAGACAGUUCGGUCCCUAUCCGCUGUGCGCGUAGGAAACUUGAGAAAGGCUGACCCUAGUACGAGAGGACCGGGUUGGAUGAACCUCUGGUGUGUCAGUUGUUCUGCCAAGAGCACCGCUGAUUAGCUACGUUCGGAAGUGAUAACCGCUGAAAGCAUCUAAGCGGGAAGCACGUUUCAAGAUGAGGUUUCCAUGGGGCUUGCCCCGAGAGGCUCCCGGCUAGACUACCGGGUUGAUAGGCCAGACGUGGAAGUGCAGUAAUGCGUGUAGCUGACUGGUACUAAUAAGCCGAUAACUUGAUU